rnacentral:rRNA from 1 species
GGCUAACGCUGGCGGCGCGCCUAACACAUGCAAGUCGAACGAACCCUUCGGGGUUAGUGGCCGACGGGUGAGUAACGCGUGGAUAAUGUGCCUCUUUGCUGGGGAUACCGUUCCGAAAGGAACGUUAAUACCGAAUGUGCUUGUUUGGCGGCAUCGUCGAGCAAGUAAACUGUUAGGGUGAAGAGAGCAGUCCGCGUUCUAUCAGCUAGUUGGUGAGGUAACGGCUCACCAAGGCUACGACGGAUAACUGGUCUGAGAGGAUGAUCAGUCACACUGGAACUGAGACACGGUCCAGACUCCUACGGGAGGCAGCAGUGAGGAAUCUUGCACAAUGGGCGAAAGCCUGAUGCAGCGACGCCGCGUGAGGGAUGAAGGCCUUCGGGUUGGAAACCUCUGUCAGUAGGGAAGAAGAAUGACGGUACCUACUGAGGAAGCUUCGGCUAACUACGUG